rnacentral:rRNA from 1 species
AUACGAAAGGUGCAAGCAUUGUUCGGAUUUACUGGGCGUAAAGAGAGUGUAGGUUGUUUAUUAAGUCGGAUGUGAAAUCCCGGGGCUCAACCUCGGAACUGCAUUCGACACUGAUAGGCUAGAGUUUGGGAGGGGUAAGCGGAAUUCCGUGUGUAGCAGUGAAAUGCGUAGAUAUACGGAGGAACACCUGAGGCGAAGGCGGCUUACUGGACCAAUACUGACACUGAGACUCGAAAGCGUGGGUAGCAAACAGGAUUAGAAACCCCGGUAGUCC